AGUGUAGGCGGUCUCAAAAGUCGGGUGUGAAAGCCCUGGGCUCAACCCAGGAAGUGCACUCGAAACUGCGAGGCUAGAGUAUCGGAGAGGUUGGUGGAAUUCUCGGUGUAGAGGUGAAAUUCGUAGAUAUCGAGAGGAACACCGGUGGCGAAGGCGGCCAACUGGACGAAUACUGACGCUGAGACUCGAAAGCGUGGGGAGCAAACAGGAUUAGAUACCCUGGUAGUCCACGCCGUAAACGAUGGGUGCUAGGUGUCGCGGGCUUUGACUCCCGCGGUGCCGUAGCUAACGCAUUAAGCACCCCGCCUGGGAAGUACGGCCGCAAGGCUAAA
rnacentral:rRNA from 1 species